rnacentral:snRNA from 1 species
UGUUAUAUCUGUUCUUAUCAGUUUAAUAUCUGAUAUGUCCUUUAUUUGACAACUGUAUAUUAAAUUGAUUUUUGAAACAGGAGGAUGGAAUAGAAGCUUGCUCUGUCCACCCCAGGCAUCGACCUGAUAUUGUGGUGUCUCCAGAAAUGGAGC